rnacentral:pre_miRNA from 1 species
UGGGUCUAGCCUUGAAAUCAUGUUUGUUGUCUUUUCAUGAGAUCAAAAGUUAGACUCAUU